AAAAUAAAACUUUAAAGAAUCAAAUGAUAUUUUAAGUUUUAUCGAAUAUCCGGUGGAAUUCUCCUUGUAUCUAGGACCUACCUAACCUGCAAAAUAAUCCAAAUAACAUUUCUAAAAUAUAUAUUCCAUAUUCACAUCUCACCAAACAUCAUAUGACUUCUCUAAAUCAAUAAAAAAUCAUAUAAUUAAAUAUAAAAUAAUUAUUUAAAAAUUCAGAGUGUUACAUAAUCAAUAUUUUAUUUUAUUUUACAUUUUAUUGCAG
rnacentral:misc_RNA from 1 species